AUUGAACGCUGGCGGCAGGCCUAACACAUGCAAGUCGAACGGUAACAGGAAGCAGCUUGCUGCUUCGCUGACGAGUGGCGGACGGGUGAGUAAUGUCUGGGAAACUGCCUGAUGGAGGGGGAUAACUACUGGAAACGGUAGCUAAUACCGCAUAACGUCGCAAGACCAAAGAGGGGGACCUUCGGGCCUCUUGCCAUCGGAUGUGCCCAGAUGGGAUUAGCUAGUAGGUGGGGUAACGGCUCACCUAGGCGACGAUCCCUAGCUGGUCUGAGAGGAUGACCAGCCACACUGGAACUGAGACACGGUCCAGACUCCUACGGGAGGCAGCAGUGGGGAAUAUUGCACAAUGGGCGCAAGCCUGAUGCAGCCAUGCCGCGUGUAUGAAGAAGGCCUUCGGGUUGUAAAGUACUUUUCAGCGGGGAGGAAGGCGAUAAGGUUAAUAACCCUGUCGAUUUGACGUUACCCCGCAGAAGAAGCACCG
rnacentral:rRNA from 1 species